rnacentral:rRNA from 1 species
AGGAUGAACGCUGGCGGCGUGCCUAAUACAUGCAAGUCGAGCGGUAAGGCCACUUCGGUGGUACACGAGCGGCGGACGGCUGAGUAACGCGUAGGAACGUACCCCAAACUGAGGGAUAAGCACCAGAAAUGGUGUCUAAUACCGCAUGUGCUCCACGGAGUAAAGCUUCGGCGGUUUGGGAACGGCCUGCGUCCGAUUAGCUUGUUGGUGAGGUAAUAGCUCACCAAGGCGACGAUCGGUAGCUGGUCUGAGAGGAUGAUCAGCCAGACUGGGACUGAGAACGGCCCAGACUCCUACGGGAGGCAGCAGUAGGGAAUUUUCCACAAUGGGCGAAAGCCUGAUGGAGCAACGCCGCGUGCAGGAUGAAUGCCUUAGGGUUGUAAACUGCUUUUAUCUGUGACGAAUAUGACGGUAGCAGAUGAAUAAGGAUCGGCUAACUCCGCGCCAGCAGCCGC